UACGUAGGGUGCAAGCGUUGUCCGGAAUUAUUGGGCGUAAAGAGCUCGUAGGCGGUUUGUCGCGUCGUAUGUGAAAACCCGGGGCUCAACCCCGGGCCUGCAUUCGAUACGGGCAGACUAGAGUUCGGUAGGGGAGUCUGGAAUUCCUGGUGUAGCGGUGAAAUGCGCAGAUAUCAGGAGGAACACCAGCGGCGAAGGCGCUGCUCUGGGCCGGUACUGACGCUGAGGAGCGAAAGCGUGGGGAGCGAACAGG
rnacentral:rRNA from 1 species